CUCAUCUUCUAAGGGUGCAUCGAAGAAGAGAUCCAAAGAGGGAAAUGAGGAUGCAUCUAAGAAGAAAAAACAAAAGAAGAAGAAGGAUCCAAAUGCACCUAAGAAGGCAAUGUCUGGUUUCAUGUUCUUCUCACCAAUGGAAAGGGAGAAUGUGAAGAAAAGUAAUCCUGGCAUUGCUUUUGGGGAGGUUGGAAAAGUUCU
rnacentral:misc_RNA from 1 species